CACAAUCUUCAGGGCAGGGUGAAAUUCCCUACCGGUGGUAAGCGUUAAGCAAGCCCACGAGCGCCUUUUAAGGGUCAGCAGAUUUGGUGAAAAUCCAAAGCCGACGGUUAGAGUCCGGAUGAAAGAAGAUUAAC
rnacentral:ncRNA from 2 species